rnacentral:rRNA from 1 species
UACGGGGGGAGCAAGCGUUGUUCGGAUUUACUGGGCGUAAAGGGCGCGUAGGCGGUCAGCACAAGUCAGUUGUGAAAUCUCCGGGCUUAACUCGGAAAGGUCAACUGAUACUGUGCGACUAGAGUGCGGAAGGGGCAACUGGAAUUCCCGGUGUAGCGGUGAAAUGCGCAGAUAUCGGGAGGAACACCGGUGGCGAAGGCGGCAUCCUGGACCAACAUUGACGCUGAGGAGCGAAAGCUAGGGGAGCAAACGGG